rnacentral:lncRNA from 1 species
GAAGCAACUUCAUCUCUAUGGACACAGUGCCUGGGAUGUUCUCCCCCACCCCACUCCUGAGCCCCACUGAAAUGAAGGGGAGCUGACAGAGAACAGUACCCAGCACAGCUUGCUGCUCAUUUCAAUAGGGCGUGUGCAGGGGGACAGCCCAGUGGAUCGUGUCCAGUGCAUUUGUAGGAUUAGGAAGAAUGCUUGCAGAAAUGCCCUUGAAUAAGGCUCCUAGAAGCUUCACCGGACUGCCAUUGAUCCUCAGAGAGACUCCCUUCUUGUUGCUGCCACAGUAGGUGAAGAGGAGAUUGCUCUGGCCAAUCAUCUGCAUGGAAAAUCCGACAUGAAUGGCCAAAUUAACUUCCAGUGUGGGAGAGAAAAGUGGGACAAUUAUGCCAAAUUUUGACAGGAAGGGCUGCUAGCUAAACUUU